rnacentral:lncRNA from 1 species
UGGAUUGUAGCCUGGUCGUUCCAGAAAUGUAUUCCUUCAAAGGAAGUGGCAUAUAGGGAAGCAGGUGGGUGGCAGAAUAAUUGAUAUCUGGAGCUGGAAGAAGAAAACUGGUGUUAAGUAGUGACAAAACACUUGGAAGGAAUACCUCAACAUAUCUCUUCAGCCUGCAGCAUGGGGGAGAUGGGAAGGACUGGACCUUGGAAAAGAAUUCCUUGACUUUGAUGAUUACAAAUGAGACACAAGAGGAGAAUGUAUGCACAGAGCUCCCAAGAAGGAUAGAGGUUCUUCGACGUUUCUCUACAGUGCAGGAGGCUGAAGACAGAUUUUUCUCCUCAUGAAGGAAAAGUUCCCAGUGUUUGGGGCAUGGGGCGGCUUUGGUUAGGCUUCUUUUUUAUUUUUAAGCACAUGGAUUCCUGGUACAGGAUCCUAACCAGUUGAACUGCUAGAAAUUAUUAUAUUCUAUGUACAAGUUCACAGGGGUGAAAAGGAAAACAAGACCAU